rnacentral:rRNA from 1 species
UGGGCAACCUGCCCUCAGCUCUGGGAUAACUCCAAGAAUUGGGGCUAAUACCGGAUAUGACCGCUGACCGCAUGGUCUGGUGGUGGAAAGAUUUAUCGGCUGGGGAUGGGCCCGCGGCCUAUCAGCUUGUUGGUGGGGUAGUGGCCUACCAAGGCGACGACGGAUAACCGGCUGAGAGGGCGACCGGUCACACUGGGACUGAGACACGGCCCAGACUCCAGGGA